CAGUCUUUGGUGAAGGCGGCUUUGAAAGGAAGAAACUGAAAGAAAGAAAGGGAGAAAUUUUCCGAUCAAUAUCCUCUUCUGUCUUCUACUUAAAUAACAAGGAACCAAGUUAGGGUUUUACUGGUUUGCCUUCGAUCCCAUGCUCUCUCCCCCACCAUAGCGGCGGGGGCUCCCACCGUCAAAUGUCUCUACUCCAAUCCCCCACAGUUGAUUGCCCUUCCCAACGCUCCUCCACCACCG
rnacentral:misc_RNA from 1 species